UACAGAGGGUGCAAGCGUUGUUCGGAAUUAUUGGGCGUAAAGGGCGCGUAGGCGGUGCGGUAAGUCUGCAGUGAAAUCUCUGGGCUCAACUCAGAGUCUGCUGUAGAAACUGCCGUGCUUGAGUGUGGGAGAGGUGAGUGGAAUUCCCGGUGUAGCGGUAGAAAUGCGUAGAUAGUCGGGAGGAACACCUGUGGCGAAAGCGGCUCACUGGACCACAACUGACGCUGAGGCGCGAAAGCUAGGGGAGCAAACAGG
rnacentral:rRNA from 1 species